AAAAAUCAAAAGUCUCCAAAUUAACUUCCCUUUCUUUAUUGAUGACGGUCCAACCUAACCUGAUAAUACAACUAUAUAUAUAUAAUUUUUCUCUGUAAAGCUAAAUCCUCUUCACAGUCAACUCUCUAUUACUUCUUCCAGCCUGGUUAUGCCUCUGUUUGGCCUGAAGAUAGGAUUAAUGGAGACCCCCUUUUGGGUGUUUUGGUGGUGUGGGGGAACACCCAUGUGGGACUGGUGAUCGGUGAUAGUGAUUUAUUUAUUUAUUUAUUUGGUUUCUUCAGGUUGAGAGAUUUGAAUUUUGUAAUGGGAUAGAAGAAGAAGAAGAACGUGGGAGGAAGGAAGGGUUUUGGGUAAUAUUUAAUAGCUGCAAUGGGAGACCAAGAGAAGAAAGUCAUGGUGUGUGACAGUGGAAAGAAGAAAAUGGGUGUCUCACUUCUUUGAAAAAAUGGAGCUUUUUGGUUGUUGCCUUGAAAAAAUUUCACCAGCAUCGGCUGCCUGAGAUGGUUUUUUUUUUCAUAUUUGAAUACUUUUGGUUUUUAUUAUUAAUUUAAUCUUUGAAUCAUUUUACAAAUUAAUAUAAUAAGUUCCAAAGAUAAGAUCUAUAGACUUAUCUAUUUGUUAUUCUUUUAUAUCUCAUUAGCAUGUUUCAAA
rnacentral:lncRNA from 1 species